GUUCUGCAGCUCAGUGGUAGAACAUGUGCCUUGCAUGCAGAAAUACCAGGUUCAACCCCUGGUCUCUAAAGGUAGGGCU